CAUUCUGAUAGGAACAAGAUACACAGGCCUGUAGGAGCUCGGAACUGGAAAUUGCAGAGGAUUCUGCAUGGAAGGAACCCUCCAUGUGGAUUUCAAAAUUAUUCUGAACUCAGAAAAGACCAACACUGUCCUAAGAACGAUUCACAGCACCAACUUUUCUAAUGCCUCUAUUUGGGGGCUAUUAAUAAUUGGAAAGAACGUCUCUAUUCAUGGCCCAAAUCAUGGCUUUUUCCUUUCAAUGCUGAGUGAAGAGGAUACAACUUACUGCUGUUGAGAUCAGAAAUGAGUGAAAAAUAACUGGGACAGGAUAACUUAGUCCAUCAGGGGCCUCAGCAAGGACCCAGAGCAGGAGGCUGUAAACCAGUCAGACUCUGUAAUAAACAGGUGCUCACACCUACGGGGCCAAG
rnacentral:lncRNA from 1 species